AGUCACUGCGCCUGGCAGCGUGAGACCCAGGGUGAAGGAGGUCUUCCAUAUGGAGUCUUUAUUUUUGUCACCAGGGUCACCCCUUUCAUGUUCCAGAGUGGCUGACAGUGAGGACUGGUGUCCACUGGUGGUGCAGACUUGCUCUGGGAUCCUGGGGCCUGCGUGGCCAUCCUUGCACCUUUCAAAUGCUUGCAUCAUUGUCCCUUGCACAGACUCCCUUCUGCUGAGACAUUUUGUCAGGUCAUGAGGGAAAGCUUAGCAGUGAAGCCACCACCUUGUGCCAGGGACCGUCAGUGCCCCACCUCCUAACCAGAACAGCACCCUCUUCACCUGCAGACAGUGGGUGGGCCAAUCCCAAAUGUCCAUCUGAUCACCAGUUUUCUCAAGCUGCUUCUGGCCCAUUUGUGUUGGUCUGGGUCCUCCAAGAAGAAGACACCAAGAUUAAGGAUACAAACGUCGUGUUCAGAGAAAUGUCUGGGGUAGAAAAUAGUGAGGUAACCAGGAAGAUGGAGGGGCCAUCAGAUGGCUUCAAGCUUGACACCAAGUGGAGAGAAGUUUGGGUGGAAGUGUCUCAGGCAGCUCUGCGGUGAUGCCUUCCCACCGCAGCUGACAGUUGGAGAAUGACAUUGGUUUGUGCCAUUACUUGUGGUUUUGUCUUAGAUCAUUUGACCAGGGUGCUGUUUGCCUGGUUUGUCUCCUGUGAAGUUACCUUAUUCCCCUUUGUAAUUAAUAAUAAUUACAUUGCAUGGUGAUGUUUUGACACUGUGUAAACAUCCUGAGCCUCAUGCCCUGGAGACACCUGGCUUUCACAGGUAUUGGUGCUUCUUGCCUGAGUUACCACCAUGGUGGCUGCUGUGGCUGACUGAGGAUGCCACAGGUUCUUUGGCCUCCCUCCCUUUGAGAGCAGGAGCAAUAUCUUCAAUGUCUUCUUGAAUCUGGGCAGGCUCAGUCACUGCCUUGACCAAGAGAAUGAUGAUAAUUUGAGAAAAAAUUUCCAAAAGGACUGCAUAUAAACAUUAAACUUCAGGGUCCUGAAAGUCCAGGAGAUGGAGAGGCUGUUCUAGACUGAAGGAGACAAGAAACAGGACAAGUGGGUGCAACUUGUGACCCUCGGCCGAUUCCUGAUGCUCUGAGGGAUUGCUCCGCAGUAAGCAGGUCACACAAACCUACCCCCAAAGGCCAAGGGAGCUGAGAGGCUGAAAAAAGAGGCUGACAAAUGGAGUUUCUCCAAAAGAAACAUUUACUAGAAACUUAUGAACAAAGUAGUAUCUCGGGCAGCCACAAGACAGUGGAUCCCUGCACCUGCCCCCCAGAAAGCAUCCUUUAUAUAGCAAGCUUUUUGGUAAAAACAUGUGCAGCUGGUGAUGUCUUAGACUUUCUUGCAAAAUUCAUGACUGCUGGGGAAGUUAGGUAGCAUCUUUCUGAGGGGUUAUCAAUGCUACAGGCCUUGUGUGAAGACCUUGGUAUGCAGGAGUCUAACAUCGGCCACCACAGUGAUUUUGCUUCGAGAUGACACCACUCUUGCCAGGCAACAGGCUCCUUUCCUUCAGAGACAUUGCAGGGACACCUGGUGACCCUUGAAUGGGGGUCUCUGGGAAGGUGCACUAUUCAUGCAACCUUUUAUCUAAGCUUGAAAUUGUUUCAAGCUAAAUUAACUUACAAAUGUUGAUCAUAGUAAGGAAGGAGACCACCACUUCUCCUACUGCCCUCCUCUCCCCCUGUCUUGCCUAGUUUAUAAGACAGGAGAAAUGGGAGAAAACAAAAAGUGAGAAAGAAACAGAAGAUAAAUAGCCAGAUGACCUUGGUGCCAUCACCUGGCCCUGGUGUUAAUAAUAUCAACCCCUAACCUAAACUACUUGUGUUAUCUGUAAAUUCCAGACAUUGUAUAAGAAAGCAUUGUAAAACUUUCUGUUCUGUUAGCUGAUGCUUGUAGCCUCCAGUCAUGUUCUCCAUGCUUUCCCAGUCUAUCAUAAUAACCCUUUCACGUGGACCCUUUAGGGUUGUAAGCCCUUAAAAGGGCCAGUAAUUUCUUUUUCGAGGAGCUCAGCUCUUAAGACACAAGUCUGCCAAAGCUCCCAGCCAAAUAAAACCCCUUCCUUCUUUAA
rnacentral:lncRNA from 1 species